rnacentral:lncRNA from 1 species
AAGUCUGUACACAAGAAAAUAAAUAUUUUAUGAAGAAGCCAAUCUGCAGAAUUAUUCUGUGCUACCCCACCUCACUUUAUUUUCUUUGGGAGGAUCAACAAGAAGGGCUCCUUGGCAUUUCUGCAUUUCUCUUUGAGAGCAGGAAUGAGGCACUUCUGUGGCCGAUGCAGCGAUCCUCUGCAGUCAUGCUACUCGAUAUGGUGGCUACUGCACAUAUGAAAUGUGGCUGGAUUAGGCUGGGCACGGUGGCU